CUUCCUCAUCUGCUUUUCUUUGUCUCUGUCCCUUUCUUUCUCUCCUUCUCCCUCCUCUUUCUUUCCCUUCCUUCCUUCCUCUUCCUGUCUUUCUCUCUUGUUCUCUUUCUCCCCUUCUCUUUCUCUCCAUUUUCCCUUUUUCUUUCUCCCUCCUUUCUUACUUCUCUCUCUCCCCUCUUUCUCCCUUCUUUCUUUCCUUCCUUUCUCUUUCUCUGUCUUUGGUCUCUAUCUCUGCCCUUCUCUCUCUCUCUCUCCAUUUUCCCUUUUUCUGUCUUUCUCUCCCCUUCUUUCUCACUUUCUCUCCUUUUCUUUCUUCUCUUUCUCCCCCGAUCUGUUUCUCCUUUUCCUGCUUUUUCCCUUUUGCUCUCUCACUCUCUGACACCACUUUCUCUUCCUUUCUCCCUCUUCCUUCCUUUCUUUUUCUCUCUCUACCUUGUUCUCACUUGUUCUCUUUCCCUCUCUUCUCUCUCCAGUCUCCAGUCUCUCCCUCUCUCUGUGCUGCUCUCUUAUUCUCUCGUUCUAUUUCUCUUUUGUCUCAGUCUCUCCUCUCUCUGUACUUGUUGCUCUCCUUCUCUCUGUUCUCUCCUCUUUUUCUCCCUUUUGCUCUUUCUCAAUCUCUUUUUUCCCUUUCUCUCUCUUUCUUCCUUAUGUUUCUUCUUUUCUCUCUUCCCUCCCUUUCCUCCCUCUUCCCCCCAUCUUCACCCCUGUUUCCCCCCUUCUCUUUCCCCUGUCUUCCCCCUGGAAUCUGGUGAAGGGAGAAGGUACACCUUGUGGUAUUAAUAUACAGAAUCAGUAAUUAAUAGAUAAUAAAUGUUGUUCAUAUGUGGCAAACUGAAUUGUCAGUAUUGCAUAAAGAUGGUUUUCUUCCUCCUCCGCAUGAGUCUCACACAAUAAACAUGAACUCAGGGCCUGAAGUACUAGAGUCUUUGUGCGAAUAUGUCUGCGGCUACUUCCAGAUGCGCUUGUCUGAGUCGCCAUACGAGCUGUAACACUGUGAGGUGCUGCCUUGUCCUCUGCUGGUCUCUGAAGGUAGAAGCAGUCUGUGACACACAGCGAAUGUGAUGUUCCCAUGUGCCCUGUGCGAGUGGCCGCUGCCCCGGGAGCUUUCCCCUCCAGCCAUACCCUGUUGGGUGGUGAGGACCCCAGGAGCCAGGGAACGGCGGGGCCGGGGCUGCUGGGACCGACCGAGC